CUCUUCCCUCCAGAAGGCAGUCUCUGUGAAUGCGGGCGCAUGUCAAUCACCCGCGCUCAUGUCAUGACUCUUGCCAAUGAUGUGUCAGCCAUAUGGCCUUGCAUCAUAGCUUGUAUGUAACCCACCCAGCCCUGGUAGAGUAUACCGCACUACUGUAUCUGCGUAUUUGGAGUAGGGAUAGCACAGCGAAAAAGCAGCGAGCUUGACUUCAGCCGCACCAAUUGAAGUGUCCAUGCAGGAGCGGUGUGGACUUGGACUGGCCACCCGGAGAUGGUCUAAACAAACGCGCUUUCGCCUCUCACCCAGCUCCAAGACGGCGUGCCACCAUGUUGACAAGGCUAUUCAGCGAGGUUCUGCCGGAUGUCCAGAAGCUCUCGGGUUGGGUGGAGAACAGCGUGGGCGAGGACUCCAAAACCAAGGAGGAAGACAUGGGUCCCCUGCAAGACGACGACUUGGAUGACGGCGACGCCAGAGAGGGAAGCAGCCGGGAUCAGUCCGAGAUGGCUGGGGAUGACGUCAACGAUGAGGACUGUGGUGAUGAGAACGAGGGGGAAGACACAACCGAAAAGCCCGGGCCAAAGAAACGCAAGAUGACGCCAGCACGAAUUGAGCGCUCCAAGGUGCGGCGUCAAAAAGCCAACGCACGAGAGAGAACGCGUAUGCACGAUUUGAACUCUGCGCUGGACAAUUUGCGCAAAGUAGUCCCCUGUUAUUCCAAAACGCAAAAACUCUCAAAGAUAGAGACGCUGAGACUGGCCAAGAAUUACAUUUGGGCGCUCGGGGAGAUCUUGCGCAAUGGGAAAAGGCCAGAUGUCGUAUCCUACGUGCAGACACUGUGCAAGGGCCUGUCCCAGCCCACCACAAAUCUCGUAGCUGGUUGUCUGCAGCUCAACUCUCGGAACUUCUUGACAGAGCAGUGUCCUGACGGGGCCCGGUUUCAUGUCCCCAACUCCUCUUUCUCCGUGCACCCUUACUCCUACCAGUGUCCCCGUCUGUCUAGCCCUCAGUGCCAACCCGGCUCCAGUCGGCAUAUGAGGACCCAUAACUACGGCUACGGCGACGCGGUCUACCCAGGGGCAAUCUCCCCAGAGUACGACAGCCCAGACUAUGGGGGCCAUCACAGCUCGCCUGUGUGCGUCAACGGCAACUUUUCUGUGAGUCAACAGGAGUGUGGGUCGCCGGACAGAGACAUGAACUAUCACUAUGCUAUGCACUACUCUGGACUGUCUGCUUCGCGCGCCACUGCAGUCCACGGACUAGCGUUCGGCACAUCGGGAGCGCGCAGCGGUUCCGCGCACUCUGAAAACGUGCCGCCGCCAUUUCAUGACAUGCACUUAUUGCACCAUGACAGGACGCCCGUGUACGAGGAACUUAACGUCCUUUACCACAACUGAAUUCACCAAAACCCUAACAACCCACCGGACCCCUAAAUACCCAACUAAAAAUCGUAACGUUAGGCUAUUAUAGCCUAUCCAUUUUGACACUGGAUGAGGUUUUUAGAAAACGGAAGGUGGGGUGGCAGGAAUUGAGAGAGAAAUACCAAUAUUCUCAAUGUUGGUUCUCUGUUUUAUUGAUGUCGUUCCUGAAUUGUCGUUGUGCACAUUUGAAGUCCCUGUCUUAUCCUGGACAGUUAAGUGAAGAGUUUAGGUGCUGUAAUAGAGAAAUGUAGCAACCUCCACAAACAGGCUGGUAUAUUGGGGCAGCCUGUUCUGUACUCUGUAUUUCAGACGAAAUCAAGACCAUGUGUAAGGCUCUCUAUGGAUCUACAAAAAGGUAUCCCAAUACCCGGCAAAACAUGGGUGUGUGUAUACACUCUUUCAAAAGUACUCCUCGUUGAGAGACCAGACAUUGAAGGGAUGUAUAAGAAUUCUUCAAAUUUACUCCUCAUAUUAAUUCACACACUAAAACUUUUUACACCACUGUGCCUACCCAGACCAUGAUGCUGGCUUGGAUAUUUUGUUCUUACAUUGUUUAUUCCGUCACAUUUCCAGCAGCUUAACAAGACCAUCAUCACUGUAAAAAAUGACCCACGGGCUUAGUAAAUAUUGCAAAAGAAAAUCAAUGAUUUUUACUUCAAAUAAAAGGUUUCUGGUUUUAUUUCACAUUCUUUUAUAUAGUACUUAAUUCAUGUGUUGAAAAUCCAAGGUAAUAUGCUGCUAAAUUUGAACAAAUAUUUCUAAGUAACAAUCAACAAUUUAAAAAUAUAUUCAAAUUAUCAUUGUUGGACUGACAUGCUAGUGUAACCAGUGUGAAAUGGCCAGCGAGUUAGCGGGGUGCCAGCUAUUUCGAGUUUCAAUCGGUGAUGUCACUCGCUCUGAGACCUUGAAGUACUGUAGUUGUUCCCCUUGCGCUGCAAGGGCUGUGGCUUUUGUUGAGCGAUAGGUAACGAUGCUUCGAGGGUGUCAGUUGUUGACGUGUGCAGAGGGUCCCUGGUUCGAGCCCAGGUAGGGGCAAGGAGAGGGACAGAAGCAAAACUGUUACAUUGAUCCUGUUGACCCGGAUCACUGGUUGCUGCAGAAAAGGAGGACUCAAACAAGGUUCCGAAGGUACAGUCACUGUACCUACACAGGGCACACCCUUUAAUUUGUCCAUUUUCAUCUCACAUGUUUUUAGAUUAAUUUUUCAAACUUAAACAUUUCAAUAGCUCCCUAGUCGUGUGACCUACUGACUUCAAACAAGGUCCAGAAUGUCCAAUCAGUGGGCCUACACAUUGCACAUCCUUAAGUUUGUCCUUUAGUUUGUCCAGUUUACCUUUUUCUUUCAUAUUUAUCUACAAUAAUUGGUAGUUCUAAGUACUUAUUUAUCAUGUUUUUUAUUUUUCCACGUUCUUUAACAGCGGUACACAAUAGGAGAGAGACAGAAUAUCUCCUUUCGUCGUUAAUAUCAACCAAACAGGAAAAGGGCAGAGUGCGAGAGUCAUGCUAUUAAUUGUCCAAAGCAGGGAUGGAGAGUGAGCUAGUAAGGUGGGCUGCAGUGGGUUUGCUGGUCAAUACAUAUACUGAACAUGUAACCAUAGUAAUGGUGGCCAGUAAAUCAAUGAAUAAAAAUGGAAUAUUGACAAAUUAAACAGAAAUUGUAGACCUUUCAUCUUUUCCAACAUGUCAACAGACACAACAUUUCACCGUGUUAACUUUCUCUUUAUCCCUGGUUGAUGUACAUGUCAGAGCCUCUUCAGUGUGGAUGGGGUAUAGCAUACAUUUUCAACAACAAAGAGUGCACUUCCAGUUUGUGUUCUUUACUCUGUUGAACUCUUGUCUUCAUUCCUAGGCACAGCACAUGGAACCCCUGUUAGCAAAACAAAGCAUAACACAUUAUAUAUAAUAUGAAAUAUCAAUGCAGUAUGACGAAUUAGCCAUCCAUUGUGUUAUAUCAUAAAUUGUCUUCCAUGCCGUCACUGUUGUCAAAAGAUUAUAAACAUGUUAAAUAAAGUUACUAACCCAGUCAGUCUUUGGGCCACAUCCAGGUUCUUUAUCAGUGACAAAAAUGAAGCAGUUGUUGGCUUUGUUGACCUCUGAAAUCAUAGGCAUGAACUGAACAUAUGGCUGUCCCACACAACUACAUCAACAUAAAGAAUUUACAUUUACUUUGAAUUAAAUGUCAUUACCAGACACGUUUUGUAUAAAAAAUAUAAAAGUAGCAUAUAGUAUCCAACCCUAUCACAGAGUGAAUAAAUGUAGAGCGUUUAGACUUUAAGAAAAAAUAUUAA